rnacentral:lncRNA from 1 species
UCAUGAAGAUUUAAUGGUAGAAACAAAACAAAACAGACAAAAAGAACCACUGUCAGUCUUUAGAGAACUGCACUGUAAUUCAAUUAUCAAUACUGAGGGAUCAGCUGAAAGUAUCACACAUUCAAAGUGAGCUGACAUGAAUCUGUGUUCACGUGUCAACAGCUGUGACUGGGGCACUCUGUGCUGGUUGGGGGUGGGGUACUCGAGGAGGAUUCUGGACUUCUGUGUAAAUUGAGAUCUCUGAAGCAAUUCCAGUGGAAACACAAUCUUUAGGGCGCCCCUUAUACAGGCCUAACAAUUAAAAAUUCAGAAUUUGCAAAUGACUUGUGAGCAUGCUUAUAGAAUAAAAAGGCAGGAAACUCAAUCCUCUUCCACAUAGAAAUUUCAGGAAAACAUCUUUUUUACAAUUUCAUAUCCUUCAGUAUGGAGCUAUAGCUGGAAUCAGAUUUGACUUCUUGAUGUUUGUAUUUAUUAAAGGGAAAAAGGUUUGUUUACUUGGAUCUCCAAAGAGCUUAAUUCUUUUCAACGUGAACCAUCAUUGUCACCAGCAUAAUUUUACCUUAGGGUAACUAAUAGGAAACUUCAGUUUAACUGUUUAAGGCCCUCAUUUCUAUAUACCUGUAUAACAAUUACAAUCUGCCAUGGAAUUAAUAAUUAAUGUCAUACUUAUAAUGCAGUGUCUAUUAAAAUACCUGAACCAUUUUUAAUAAUCAACUCCGAUUUUAAAUGUUUUUACAUUCGAAGGUAAAAUAUAAUUUAAAUCAUUGGAUUUAAGAAGACGUAUCAUACUUUUUCCCAUAUCCUUGUAUUCACACGGUGAGUUUUGAGAAAAUCAAGCUGGUGACCUUUAGUGUGUUUUUUUAUGUUUUUUUCCCCUUGGUGUUUAUUUCUAGCUGCUCCUGCAAAUGGCGAAUUAUAUGUAUAUUACUGUCUCACAGCCCAACAAUUGUACAAUUGUUCAGAGCUUAACACUUUUCCUGUAUAAGAUCUGUGGAAUGUGUCUUUAAAGAGGGGAAAACAGAAAAUGGGGGGUCUUGUGUUUUGGUGGGGUUUUUCCUUUUUGGGUUUUUUUGUUUGGUUGUUUAGUUGGGUUUUUUUGUUUUGUGUUGGUUUUUUGUUUUUUCAAGACAGGGUCUUACUAUGUGGCUCUGGCUGUCCUGGAACUUGUUCUGUAGACCAGGCUGGCCUCGAACUCAGAGAUUCCCCUGUCUCUGACUCGAGAAUAAAGGCAUGAGCCACCACACCCAGCUUAGAAAUGUUAAAGCAGGAAAACCUGAAUGUGAUGUGCGCAUCUUUACCCCACAUGAACGGUGUAUUUGUUUUAAUAAAUGGAAUUUUCAGAUUC